AUGAGAGAAGCUCUCUCAAUCCUCAGCCGGCCGGACAACCCAACUUGCCAUUCCGGCCACCAUUCCGACCACCACACACGGUGGUUGGAACUCCAAAAUUCACCCAAAAAGACCCCAAAACAUAGAUCUACUACCCUAGGCACCAAACUAAACCUAAAAAUUCCCUAAACAAACCCAAACAACCACAAAUCUAACCUCGACUGUUCGGUUUCCUCAAACUCUGACCACCGUAAACUCUCCAACUCAAUUGUCAGUUGGUGGAGAAGACUGUGAUGGUGCCAGAUUCAGUGGCCUGGGCUCGAUCUGGACCGUUGGAUGGGUCCAGAUCGGACGGCUCUAGCAAGGCACCGACAGCAUCCAAGGGGGAAAUCUUAACUGAGAGUUGAUCUAGACCGUCCAUCUCCAACUUGAUCGUAUGACUGAGAUUAGGUGGUUGCCUUAGAAUAUGAUGAAACCCUAGUAGGUGUUGGGUUUUCAUCCUUAGGUUUGCUGGACUGUAAUUUGGGUUUGAAGUAUUUGGGUCGAAUCUGUAAAUAAAAAUAUUAUUUUAGUAA